ensembl:lncRNA
AGAAAACUAUUUACUAGUAGAAACUAUUUGUACCUUUAAAUGUAAGUUUUUAUGUUUUAUUAGACACCUGCUGGAAUUAGAAUUCUAGUCUUAGAAUUAGGGUUAAAGUUACUUUUAAGUUACUGUUUGGACAUAAAUGUUAUUGAGGUUAUUGAGGUUAAGGUUAGUGUGAGGUUAGGGUUAGUAAAAAUCCCCAUUUAGAUAUCUACGUAAACAUGCGUACUGAAUGUGUGUGUGUGUGUGUGUGUGUGUAAGUGACACCGGAUCAUAGCAGGUCUGGAGGUGUGUGUGUGUGUGUGUGUGUGUGUAAGUGACACUGGAUCAUAGCAGGUCUGGAGGUGUGUGUUGUGCUGCGGUGUGUAGCACUAAGGAGUUGUGUGACGGAUUGGCCAUGGUGAGAUAUUGGGGUGCUGUCAGUCAACAUGGGCACACAAACACACACACGUACACACACAGCCAUGCACACACUGAUUGAUUAAUAGAAGGACAUGUUUUGGAAAGUGGUAGUAGUCCACUGUGAAGAGUUGUAAGGAGUAUGUUCUCAUAUCCAGUAAUGCAAUAUGUUCCCUUCAUUACUCUCAGGGAAAGGAAAUGAAGGCAAACAUUUACCUUGACUGGAAAAUAACUGUUCCUUCAAUGCAGUGGACAUGGCUGAUGCAUUUUAAUAACAGUUCUGGAACAUCUAUUUCUGACACACACACACAUAUUCUAAUCACUCUCAUACCAACAUUUGCAUUCGAUUGGAGGAGAGUAUGCUGAACAAGUGUAAAAGCUAUUUAGUGAGAUUACAUUGCAUUUCCCUUUCUCUAUCUGCAUUACUGUAUCUCUCUUUUUCUCUCUCGACCUCUGUGCUGUGUAGGUUACCAGGAAGGUAACCGUUUGCUGAGUCAAUUUAAUAAGAUGUAUACUUACAAAUCUUUGCCGGUUUCUGCAGGUCCUGUGAACAAAAGAAAAAGAAAAAUAAUCUGGAUGCUAUUUUGCUACUCGUCUUGUGUUUGUAUGUCUGUGUGUGGUAGGGGUUGUAGGUUAUCUUCCUUAAAGCAAAAGUCAAUAGCAUUACAUCAAGCCCAUCCUCACUGAUCUGUUUACAAAUACAAAUCUUUUAUAAAUAUGCAAUUAUAUUGAUUGAACGUUGACAAAUAUGCUGUACAUAUGAUCAUAACUUAGUAAAUAAGCAUGAAUUAACUCUAUAGCCAACCAAUUUUUUCUAAGAUGAGGUACCAAAUAGAAAUUGUGACCGCCCACUCAUAAUCUACCAUCCACUUUCCCCAUUGCUCGUUCCUGUAUGAAAUGUGUUAUUCAUGGUUGAUGUCCUUAGGUCAGGUCUGUUUUCCUGAUAUUUUAAAUUCACCUACAUAUCUGGUUGUAUUGUGGAGAGAGCGUGCCCAACAUCCUAAACAGCAAAACCUGGUAGCUUCUGGAAGAUUCUGGAAGGUACCAGCUGGGCCAGCCCUGCCCCUACACACCUGCCUCCAACUGGGACCUCGUCUGGGGAGGUAUUUGAGAGCUCCCUGGGAGCAGCUCAGGGCAGAGGCCAAAACCAAAGAAGAUUAAACAGGCAAGGCUAAAAGAAGAAGACGAAGAAGAAGAAGUCGAAGAAGAGGAGGAGCGGGAGGGGUGCUGGAGCAGCAGACAAAAUUACAACCACCAGCACCAAUUGCUCCUAAACCACCCCUGGGAAGCUGCUCCGGGACAAAGCCAACUCCCUCACCUCCUCCCCUCACCCUUCUAGUUUUGUUAAUAAAACGCCCUCCAAGGCCCUGAACACACCCUCUAUGUUCAUUCCCUGUGUAUCUCCCCAAACAUUGUACAAUCCUGCCCUGCUGUGUGAACUGAAUAAAAAACGAUUUGAAAUGAUUUGCUCCCUUAGAAAAAACGGGUUAGCACAGGAAAUCUGUUGGUAUUGUCAGUUUCUGUUCUGAAAGCAGUUGGUGAAGGGGCAAUCUGAGGACAAGUAGAUUAUCCACUUCUGAAUGGCAGCCAGAAAACUCUGAUUCAUCUGUACCAUCCAUGCUGAUUGUCAUCCACAUUAACAGAACCCACGGAGCUGCCAGAAAACUCUGAAGGUUAUCCCAGUCCCAGUCUCUGCAGUAGCCUGCCCUACCAUAUUAGGACUGCUAUAGGCUCCAUACAUCAGUGACAUUAACUCCAUACCUGACUUAAAGCUACCCUGCCCACUUGUCCAUGGUAAAGAAAUCAAUGAGACACAGCUUAAUGGCCUUCUGUAAAGACCCGUGUAAUUGGGCAGAGAGGGAAAGAGUGGUGGGUGAUGUGAGCUGCCUGGCCUCUUAAGGCUGCCUGGGAUCCGACAGAAGAGUUGCUGGCUGUUCUCCAGUACCACUCCAGAGUUCUGCUGCACUUAGCGGGCCUCCAGGGACCUUCACACGUAUGUAGGACAGGUAGGGCAGAAACGACUGGCUCUGAUAGAGCAGGAUUGGACCUGGAUGACUGUCAGGUACAUUCAUCUUUCUUUCUAUUAAUAAUGACUGUAAGGGCUCAUUUCAGCAGGUAUCCCCAAAUCUGAUCCAAUUACCCCCUUCCCCACAAACACACACACACACACACACACUCACACACUGGUCUUUUGACCAAUCACAUUUUUUUCAGAGAUAAUCUACUUGAGUAAAAGAGAAAGAAAAAAGAAAAUGGGCUGAAUAUGUGUACUCAGCCAUAGUGAGGUUGACAGGGGUCACUACAAAGCCUGCACUGGCUCUAGGGGACGGGGGGUUGGAAAAGGCUACACCCUAGAGAGAAAUUGAGAAAUACAGUAUAAAGCUGAAGGGUUUGGUAAAUUAUGAAACCUGCUGUAAAUUUGUUGCAACAAGGCAAGGCCAUAAAUGCAAACUGGAAAUUAUGUAAUAAAGAGGGGAGAAAAUGGGUUAAAGAUAAUGCAAAUGAAUAAAAAAGGCUAGCCAUUAUCAUCAAGGGUUCAUUGAACCAAAACUUAGUAUGUACGUCAGUCAGCUUAUGUCAGGUAGUAUGUCAGGUAGCCUAUGUCAAGUAGUAUGUCAUGUAGCUUUUGUCAAGUAGCUUAUAUCAGGUACUAUGACAGGUAUCUUAUGUAAAGUAGAUUAUGUCUGGUAGUCUGUCAGAUAUCUUAUGUCAACUAGCUUACAGCUAUGAUCAUGCACCUAGUUUAUAAUGCCUCUGGAAAACAUUCAGACCUUUUCACUUUCUGUUAUGUUCUGUUAUAGACUUCAUUUAUAAUUGAUUGCAUUUAUUACAUUUAUUGUCAUCAAGUUACACAUAAUGCCCCAUAAUGACAAAGUGAACAUACAUUUUUUAAAUGUAUGCUGGUUUAUUGAAAUUAAAAACCUGAAACAUAUCAUGUAUAUAAGUAUUCUGAAGCACCUUUGACAGCAAUUUCAGCUUUGACUUCUUGGUUAUGCCUCUGCCUGCUUUGCACACAUGGAUCUGGGCAGUUUCUCCCAUUCUUUCUUGCAGAUACUCUCAAGCUCUGUCAGAUUGGAUGAAGAGCAUCAGUGAAUAGUGAUAUUCAGGAGGACCCCACAAAUGUUCAAUGGGUUUCAAGUCUAUGCUUUGGCUGUGCCACUCAAAGACAUUAACAGGCUUAUGACAAAGCUACUCCUCUUGCCUUGGCUUUGUGCUUCAGGUCAUUGUUGUACUGAGUCAGAGGUCGUGUGUGCUUUUUUGAGUACCUGACUGUAUUUUGCUCUGUUCAUCCUUCCCCUCAAUCCUGACCGGUCUGCCAGUACCUGCCACUAUAAAGCAUCCCCAUAGCAUGAUGCUGCCAUCACCAUGCAUCACCGUAGGAAUGGUGUUAGCCAGGUCAUUCCCAUACAAAGUGCUUGGCUCUCAGGUCUAAUUGGUUUAUUUUGGUCUCAGUAGACCAGAGGAUACAUCUGAACUUAAUUUGGUGUGUCACAGCAAGGGGCCUGAAUACAUACAUCUAUGAGAUAUUUCAGUUUUUCAUUUUUAAUUUAAAUUUUC